rnacentral:tRNA from 1 species
GGGGUUAUGGCUCAGCGGUGGAGCGCUCGCCUAGUACGUGUGAGGUACUGGGUUCAACUCUCACCACCCCA